CCUACGGGAGGCUGCAGUGGGGAAUAUUGGACAAUGGGGGAAACCCUGAUCCAGCGACGCCGCGUGAGUGAAGAAGUAUUUCUGUACGUAAAGCUCUAUCAGCAGGAAAGAAAAUGACGGUACCUGACUAAGAAGCCCCGGCUAACUACGUGCCAGCCGCGGCGGUACUACGUAGGGGGCAAGCGUUAUCCGGAUUUACUGGGUGUAAGGGGGGUGUAGACGGCAGCGCAAGUCUGGAGUGAAAGGCCGGGGCCCAACCCCGGAAUUGCUGUGGAAACUGUGAAGCUGGAGUGCAGGAGAGGUAAGCGGAAUUCGUGGUGUAGCGGUGAAAUGCUUAGAUAUCAGGAGGAACACCGGCGGCGAAGGCGGCUUACUGGACUGUAACUGACGUUGAGGCUCGAAGGCGUGGGGAGCAAACAGGAUUAGAUACCCGGGUAGUC
rnacentral:rRNA from 1 species